CGAGUCUACAGUUGAUUCAACAAAGCUGAAUAUUUAGUAAAUAUUCAGAUGACAGCUUCAAAGCUGAAAGCUUUGAAGAAGAGAGGAAUGGUGGUCUUGAAGCAGCAGUUGGGAGAAAUGAGUAUACCUCCUUCACCUCCAGGUCAGCUGUCACUCUCCUUGUUAUCUGCAGUCUGGUGUGCAGGCUGAAGAAACAGCCCUGUGUGGGACACUGCUGGUCUUCUGGUAGAAAGAAAAGAAAGAUGAUGGAAUCACACUGUGAUUCAGAUUGUGGGCUGCACUUCCACUUACGUUUUAUUGGCUAAAGUGUGCCUGCCCUCAACCCGGGACACUGGAGCUAGCACCAAAGCCUACACGGAGAGGAUCAGGACAUCCUGUUGAGCACCAGAACAUUUCCUUCCUCAAGAAAAGGAAAUACAAAUGGAUUUAUUCUCAGGGCUACAGAUUUAGGAAAAAAAAAAAAAAAAGCUGUGCUUAACACCAGGCCACUGUACAAUCACCAGGACUUUUCUGGAUGUGGAGCAACUUCAUUUGGUUAUUUCAGAAUGCUUUGUAAACACGGCAGACACGGACAAAGCGUGGUUGAAGCAUUUCAGUUGUACUUGUCUCUCAUUUUCUACACGUGUUUUCCCAAAAGCUGCUUUCCCAAAAGGAGCCUGGGGAGAGGCCUUAAUCAUCUGUUAUCUCUCUUGCAGCUUCCUGCUCAGCCAGUGGCAAGAUCCAAAAUAUAU
rnacentral:lncRNA from 10 species